UCCAGACUCCUACGGGAGGCAGCAGUGAGGAAUAUUGGUCAAUGGGCGCAAGCCUGAACCAGCCAAGUCGCGUGAGGGAAGACGGCACUACGGGUUGUAAACCUCUUUUGCCGGGGAGCAAGCCUGGGCACGUGUGCCCAGGCGGAGAGUACCCGGAGAAAAAGCAUCGGCUAACUCCGUGCCAGCAGCCGCGGUAAUACGUAGGGGGCAAGCGUUGUUCGGAAUGACUGGGCGUAAAGGGUGUGUAGGCGGUGUAGCAAGUUAGAAGUGAAAUACCUAGAGCUUAACUCAGGUGCUGCUUCUAAAACUGCUAUACUUGAGUGCAGUAGAGGAAAGUGGAAUUCCUAGUGUAGCGGUGGAAUGCGUAGAUAUUAGGAGGAACAUCAGUGGCGAAGGCGACUUUCUGGACUGUAACUGACGCUGAGGCACGAAAGUGUGGGGAGCAAACAGGAUUAGAUACCCCAGUAU
rnacentral:rRNA from 1 species